ACAGCUCCAAAGAGAGGUGCUAACUGGUCUGACUGCUGGGAGGAUAACAGUUGAAGCACAGAGGACCAAGAUUUUGGGAAGCUGACCAAAGAGAAUGGCAAAAACUUGAGGGUGUGAGGGAGACUACAGACCUACAGGCAGGAAGUCUGAUGCUACCAAAAGGAAAAAGAAAUUGUGGGGACACCAACAUCAGAAACACAUUUCAACCUUUAAAGGACUCGUGAAAAUAUACGUUCAGCCUUGCUUUUCAACGUUUAGAUCAAGUGAUGGCGCCAAGAUGUAUCCUUCUGUGGCAAAUAAUUCACAGAUUCCAACUCAUUGGAGAGCCCAAAAGCUUUGUCUUAUGCCACUGUAACUUCAGCAGUAUUUCCCUGGACCGUGGAUUAAGUUUGCUGAAGCAAAAAAAUGACGAUCUGUCUGAUCUGUUCCAACAGCACUGCCAGACAAAGGCUGAAGCUGUUGUGGAAGCUGCUGUCUAACUGUGUUCAUGUUUCACAUCUGAUGGGUUCAGCUUGUCUGCACUCCUCAGACUUCUUUCCAGAAGACAGAGUACAUUCUUUCCAAUUUAU